rnacentral:rRNA from 1 species
CACCAAGACGAUGACGGGUAGCCGGCCUGAGAGGGCGACCGGCCACACUGGGACUGAGACACGGCCCAGACUCCUACGGGAGGCAGCAGUGGGGAAUAUUGCACAAUGGGCGAAAGCCUGAUGCAGCGACGCCGCGUGGGGGAUGACGGCCUUCGGGUUGUAAACCCCUUUCAGUAGGGAAGAAGCGAAAGUGACGGUACCUGCAGAAGAAGCGCCGGCUAACUACGUGCCAGCAGCCGCGGUAAUACGUAGGGCGCAAGCGUUGUCCGGAAUUAUUGGGCGUAAAGAGCUCGUAGGUGGCUUGUCGCGUCUGCCGUGAAAACCCGAGGCUCAACCUCGGGCGUGCGGUGGGUACGGGCAGGCUAGAGUGUGGUAGGGGAGACUGGAACUCCUGGUGUAGCGGUGAAAUGCGCAGAUAUCAGGAAGAACACCGAUGGCGAAGGCAGGUCUCUGGGCCAUUACUGACACUGAGGAGCGAAAGCAUGGGUAGCGAACAGGAUUAGAUACCCUGGUAGUCCAUGCCGUAAACGUUGGGCACUAGAUGUGGGGGACAUUCCACGUUUUCCGCGUCGUAGCUAACGCAUUAAGUGCCCCGCCUGGGGAGUACGGCCGCAAGGCUAAAACUCAAAGGAAUUGACGGGGGCCCGCACAAGCGGCGGGGCAUGCUGAUUAAUUCGAUGCAACGCGAAGAACCUUACCAAGGCUUGACAUGCACCGGACGAUCCCAGAGAUGGGGUUUUCUUCGGACUGGUGCACAGGUGGUGCAUGGUUGUCGUCAGCUCGUGUCGUGAGAUGUUGGGUUAAGUCCCGCAACGAGCGCAACCCUUGUUCUAUGUUGCCAGCACGUGAUGGUGGGGACUCAUAGGAGACUGCCGGGGUCAACUCGGAGGAAGGUGGGGACGACGUCAAAUCAUCAUGCCCCUUAUGUCUUGGGCUUCAAGCAUGCUACAAUGGUCGGUACAAUGGGUUGCGAAACUGUGAGGUGGAGCGAAUCCCAAAAAGCCGGCCUCAGUUCGGAUUGGGGUCUGCAACUCGACCCCAUGAAGUCGGAGUCGCUAGUAAUCGCAGAUCAGCAACGCUGCGGUGAAUACGUUCCCGGGCCUUGUACACACCGCCCGUCAAGUCACGAAAGUCGGUAACACCCGAAG